rnacentral:rRNA from 1 species
AUUGAACGCUGGCGGCAUGCUUUACACAUGCAAGUCGAACGGUAACAGGCCGCAAGGUGCUGACGAGUGGCGAACGGGUGAGUAAUGCAUCGGAACGUGCCCAGUCGUGGGGGAUAACGCAGCGAAAGCUGCGCUAAUACCGCAUACGAUCUAUGGAUGAAAGCGGGGGACCGAAAGGCCUCGCGCGAUUGGAGCGGCCGAUGUCAGAUUAGGUAGGUGGUGGGGUAAAGGCCCACCAAGCCAACGAUCUGUAGCUGGUCUGAGAGGACGACCAGCCACACAGGGACUGAGAAACGGGCCAGACUACUACGGGAGGCAGCAGUGGGGAAUUUUGGACAAUGGGCGCAAGCCUGAUACAGCAAUGCCGCGUGCAGGAAGAAGGCCUUCGGGUUGUAAACUGCUUUUGUACGGAACGAAACGGUCCGGGUUAAUACCCUGGGCUAAUGACGGUACCGUAAGAAUAAGCACCGGCUAACUACGUGCCAGCCGCCGCGGUAACAC